AAAUUUACUAAACAGUAAGAGAAACAAAAGCAAAUCAAAGAAAAAAAUCAAGAGGAGGGAAAAGUGAAUCAAGUUGAAUUUGAAUUCUGUUCGAAUUUUCGGUGAUAACGUUUUGCUUUCGUAUUCAAUUAAAUUGGAAUACAGAUUCUAUUUUUGAUCCUAUUCUAUUGUUAUAAAUUUCUUAUGGGAAAAGCAUGAAUGAAAAUAUGUGCAUAAUCUCAACGCAUUAUUUAGUAUGUAUGUUGAUUAUGUAAAUUUUGUUAUCACAUAUUAUUGAUUUACUGAGUACUUAUAUUUGUUCCGUAGACAUGUUGAAUUAGUAUCUUGUCUGUUCAUUUUUCGUCAAAUUUUAAAAGGAAGUUCACGUAAAUAGAUAAUACUGUACGAUCUCAUACACAUGUUCUUCAAUUUUUCUUUAAUCACAUAGAAACAAACAUACACUACACACGGCGGUAAGCGCGCACACACAAUUGAACAACAAACACAGAGUAAAAAAUAGGAGAAAAAUUGCUAGAGAGGAGAGAAAAGACAGAGAACAAAAAUAAAAAAUUGGUAUUUUCUGAUUUUUUCGGCAAGAAACUAGCCGAAAACCGCAUCUCCCAUAAAAAUGGAGACCAAACCCACCGGAUUCGCCACCAUGGACGGCGCCAGUCGCGCCUCCACCAGCCACCACCGCCGCUGGUUCCAUCCCCGUCUUUCCUCUUUCUCACGUCCAACGAACCACCGAAAACCGCUAUCCCACCGACGAACCAGUCAGACGCUGCCCCUCUGCGUCGGAAUCAACAACCAGCAAUCGAAGAUCCCCUCCCCGUCACCCAAAAAAAUGACGUCGGAAAACCCCAAAAUAUGGCGACCAAUGCUGUCCCUCCUUAUCACCAGCCGUCGACGGAUCCCGUCGAAAUCGACGACCAACCCAACUCCAUUCCCGUUCUGACCCAAAUCAGCUACUAAAUUAUUCAAAUCGGUAGUGAUAGUAAAGGCAGUGAUGUUGAGAGAAAAGACAGCGAUAAAAAUAAGGAGGUAGAAAUCGGUAGUGAUAUAUGUGGAUGUAUUUUUGGUGUAUUGGGAACAAAGGAGACAAAAAGACAUGAAUAGAAAAUUAAAUUAAAAAAGGUCACCAAUAGGAAUAUCAUUAGUGUUUUGAUUAUUUUUGUGGGUUUUGUAGUGUUUUAUUUAAUAUGUUGUUUAUCUUUGAUUAUCGUUAUUCGAAUGAAUUUUGAUUUUA
rnacentral:lncRNA from 1 species